GAUGAAGAACGUAGUGAAAUGCGAUAAGUAAUGUGAAUUGCAGAAUUCAGUGAAUCAUCGAAUCUUUGAACGCACCUUGCGCCCUUUGGACUUCUGAAGGGCAUGCCUGUUUGAGUAUCAUGAACACCUCAACUCCUUAUGGUCUUCCAUGAUGAGCUUGGACUUUGGGGGUUUUGCUGGCCUACAGUCAGCUCCUCUAAAAUAAAUCAGCUUACCGGUGUUUGGUGGGUAUCAUGGGUGUGAUAACUAUCUACGCUCGUGGUUUUCCACCAGGUAACCUUCAGCAGUGGAGGUUCACUGGAGCUCAUAGAUGUCUCUCAUCAGCGAGGACAGCCCUUUGAAUGUUUGAUCUCAAAUCAGGUAGGACUACCCGCUGAACUUAAGCAUAUCAAUAAGCGGAGGA
rnacentral:misc_RNA from 1 species